GAGGGUAUAGCUCAGUGGUGGAGCACGUGCUUAGCAUGUAGGAGGUCCUGGGUUCAAUCCCCAGUCUCUCCA
rnacentral:tRNA from 1 species